rnacentral:rRNA from 1 species
UACGGGGGGAGCAAGCGUUGUUCAGAUUUACUGGGCGUAAAGGGCGCGUAGGCGGCCAGCACAAGUCAGUUGUGAAAUCUCCGAGCUUAACUCGGAAAGGUCAACUGAUACUGUGCGGCUAGAGUGCGGAAGGGGCAACUGGAAUUCUUGGUGUAGCGGUGAAAUGCGUAGAUAUCGGGAGGAACACCAGUGGCGAAGGCGGCAUCCUGGCCCUGUCCUGACGCUCAGGGGCGAAAGCGUGGGGAGCAAACCGG